GGCUUAAUCCCAUCUGGGCAAAUCCUUCACCAUCUUUCCAAUGCGCCCUAAAACCAGCCACUACCAUCGUUUCACCUUUCACUGAUGUUACCACCCUCCACGCUCAUUCCCCGCGCUUCCACUAGCCACCCCCGUCUACAAAUUACAAAGAAAGAUACCCCAUAUUCAAUCCAUCCUUAAUAAUUUCUCAAAUUGUACUAUAUAGUAAGAACAAGAAGUUGAAUCGAAUUGGGUUCGUUGGAUUAGAAUUGGAAUCAGUCUCUCAUCCAUCAGCGGUUGCGAUCGCUCUUAAUUCCGGCGGAAGAAAUGGCGAUGAAAUGAAGGAACGACAGUGCUGGCAACCAGAAGAAGACGCCUUGAUGCGAUGGGUCAAAAGAGUGGAGCCUUGCCUCCCAGUGGAUGGGGAAGUUCCUCUUCCAUGACCCAAAGUCCUGCCUGGAGCGAUGGAAGAACUAUCUAGAGCCGAGCCUGAAGAAAGGUUGACCUCGGAAGAGCAAACCCUCGUCGUCUCCCGCCAGGCCAAGCAUGGCAACAAGUUGAAAAAGAUCGUUGCCAAGCUCCCUGGUCACACCCCCAAGCACCUCGACCCGACCCGUUUUCAUCAAAUGGGCACUCUGAUUCAGCUGUGUAAGGAGGUGGAUGACGGGAGGUAGAGCUGGAUGCAGUAGAAGAAUGAGGCAAUGUGGCGGCUGAGUAGGCUAAAGCAGCAGCUGGAGUCGGUGAAGGGAAGGAAGCGGAGAGAGGCGGUGGAGAAAUCGAGGCGAAGAUAAGGUGUUUGAGAGAGUAUGAGGCGGCAUUCGUGGGGAGAAUCGAGAGGGAUUACAGGCAACAGGGAGGAGCGGAGCAUGCCGCAGAGGGAGGCGGAGGGCAAUGAGGCCAAGAAGCUAGCGAAGCUUGUUUUGGGGGGGGGGGGUGUUUGCGGUGUCAGGGUUUAUAAUCAUGGUUUUAGCAGUAAACAAAGUUAAUUAGAAUCCAAUUAUGUGGUUUGGUUUUGUUUUGGAAUUUCACCUAAAUUAACAUUAUCCUCAAGUUGUCAGCUUUCUUUUCUUUAGUUAUUUUGUGAAA